rnacentral:rRNA from 2 species
UUUUACGGGGGGAACGCGAAGAACCUUACCAAAUCUUGACAUCCUUUGAAAACUCUAGAGAUAGAGCCUUCCCCUUCGGGGGACAAAGUGACAGGUGGUGCAUGGUUGUCGUCAGCUCGUGUCGUGAGAUGUUGGGUUAAGUCCCGCAACGAGCGCAACCCUUAAGCUUAGUUGCCAUCAUUAAGUUGGGCACUCUAGGUUGACUGCCGGUGACAAACCGGAGGAAGGUGGGGAUGACGUCAAAUCAUCAUGCCCCUUAUGAUUUGGGCUACACACGUGCUACAAUGGACAAUACAAAGGGCAGCUAAACCGCGAGGUCAUGCAAAUCCCAUAAAGUUGUUCUCAGUUCGGAUUGUAGUCUGCAACUCGACUACAUGAAGCGGAAUCGCUGUAUG